AGCGGCGGAGGGGACGCGCUGCAGGGCGGCGGAGCCGGGGCCGGCCCGGGCGCUACCAAACGCACGGCCCGCCUGCUCGCCCGGGGUCUGCGCCGAGCCGCGCUCCGGCCGGACGGCCGCGGCGUCCUUGGUGCGGGGGCCGGCAGCUCCCAAGUGGCCGCGGACGGCGGGGGAGAAGGAACGCACGCCGCCGGCCGGGAUUGGCCUCCUGGUCCCCCCGCCUGGGCGGCGGAGUGCGGGCGGCCCGGGGCUGGGAGGUUUGAAAAGCGGGCGAGAGACAAAGGCAGCAGGAAGCCUCCUCCGCGCCCGGAGCCCGUGCGCCCGGCCCCCGGGGCCCCCUCGCCGCCCGCCGGCCCGCGGAGCAGCGGCGGCGGCAGGAGGCGGAGGAUGCGGCAGGGGGCGUGGGCGCGGCGGCGCGGGCGGAGCGGCGCGGCCCGGGCGCGGCGUGGGUAGAGCCGAGGCGGCGGCGGCGGCCGGCCUCCGGGAGCGAGAGCGAGGCGCCUUCCCCGCCCGGGAUGUGAGCGCCGUGCGGAGCCCGGGGCGGGGGAGGGCCGGGCCGGAGGCGCAGCCGGCAGGAAGGAAGGACGGACGGACCAGGAGGAGGAGCGGCGGCGGCGGCCGGAGCCGGAAGGCGGGGAGGGGCCGGCCGUUGGGCCCGAGGCGGCGGCGGCGGCGGCGGCGGCGGCUGGGGAGAAGCGCUCUCGUCGCCUGCCCGAGGCCGGAGCGGCGGGGCCCGCGCCUCCUCCCCCCAGCGCCGCGGAGGGGGGAGGAGGAAGAUGGAGACCCACAUCUCAUGCCUGUUCCCGGAGCUGCUGGCCAUGAUCUUCGGCUACCUGGACGUCCGGGACAAGGGGCGCGCGGCGCAGGUGUGCACCGCCUGGCGGGACGCCGCCUACCACAAGUCGGUGUGGCGGGGGGUGGAGGCCAAGCUGCACCUGCGCCGGGCCAACCCGUCGCUGUUCCCCAGCCUGCAGGCCCGGGGCAUCCGCCGGGUGCAGAUCCUGAGCCUCCGCCGCAGCCUCAGCUACGUGAUCCAGGGCAUGGCCAACAUCGAGAGCCUCAACCUCAGCGGCUGCUACAACCUCACCGACAACGGGCUGGGCCACGCGUUUGUGCAGGAGAUCGGCUCCCUGCGCGCUCUCAACCUGAGCCUCUGCAAGCAGAUCACUGACAGCAGCCUGGGCCGCAUAGCCCAGUACCUCAAGGGCCUGGAGGUGCUGGAGCUGGGAGGUUGCAGCAACAUCACCAACACUGGCCUUCUGCUCAUCGCCUGGGGUCUGCAGCGCCUCAAGAGCCUUAACCUCCGCAGCUGCCGCCACCUUUCGGAUGUGGGCAUCGGGCACCUGGCCGGCAUGACGCGCAGCGCGGCGGAGGGCUGCCUGGGCCUGGAGCAGCUCACGCUACAGGACUGCCAGAAGCUCACAGAUCUUUCUCUAAAGCACAUCUCCCGAGGGCUGACGGGCCUGAGGCUCCUCAACCUCAGCUUCUGUGGGGGAAUCUCGGACGCUGGCCUCCUGCACCUGUCGCACAUGGGCAGCCUGCGCAGCCUCAACCUGCGCUCCUGUGACAACAUCAGUGACACGGGCAUCAUGCAUCUGGCCAUGGGCAGCCUGCGCCUCUCGGGGCUGGAUGUUUCGUUCUGUGACAAGGUGGGAGACCAGAGUCUGGCUUACAUAGCCCAGGGGCUGGAUGGCCUCAAGUCUCUCUCCCUCUGCUCCUGCCACAUCAGUGAUGAUGGCAUCAACCGCAUGGUGCGGCAGAUGCACGGGCUGCGCACGCUCAACAUUGGACAGUGUGUGCGCAUCACGGACAAGGGCCUGGAGCUGAUCGCUGAGCACCUGAGCCAACUCACCGGCAUAGACCUGUACGGCUGCACCCGAAUCACCAAGCGCGGCCUGGAGCGCAUCACGCAGCUGCCGUGCCUCAAGGUACUCAACCUGGGACUCUGGCAGAUGACGGACAGUGAGAAGGUCAGUGGCUGUGACCGGGUAAAGGCAGCUGCUGUAAAGAGGCCGUGAGUGUGCGGUGGGAAGGUCUACUCUAUAGUCUACAAUCAGGCCUCAGAGUUUUGGAGGCACGAGGGGAUUUUUCUCCAUUAUUCACUGUGAGAACUCGGGGAAGCUCCAGAAGGUGAGGGAGAGGGGACAACGACAUGGUUCCCGUGGAUCUUUAACUUCCAGACUUGCCCGCUCUGCGCCUCCGGCACUCUGGUGAUGACAGCUCAGGUUUCCCUGCCUGUCACUGCUCGGGCAGAGGCUGCUGCCCAGGGCUUCUGCUCCGGUACCUUGUGAAGCUGCAUUCUCCUGCCGGUUUCUCCAGUUCUGGGGACAGUGGUUUGCUCUGAGACCUCGCUUCCUUUAUGGAUCCAAGGAGACUUGCUUUUUCAGUCUGUUCAGCUUUUUACUUGCUAGGAUGGAAUUGCAAUUUGCAAGCUUCUUCGACAGGAAACUACAAGUUCCACACUUUAAUUUUAUACAUAUAAAUAUAUACAUGUGUACAUAUAUCUAUGUACAGGGGUAUUAUAUAUAUACAUAUAAGAUGAUGAUAUAUAUAAUGAUGAUAUGUAUUACUGAGAACGUAAAAUAUCAUUACAUAGUGAUAGCUGGACACACAAGGAAUUCACAACUCCCCAAAGAAAAUACAUCUGGAUGACCUGCCUAGCAGUUUCCCCAUGAGAUAGAGGAAUGUCUACGUAUUUCAUUCCCUGUUCCUGCCCUGAAACAAUUUCAAUCACUGACAAAUCAUUAUCAUUCAUUAAUAAUGUUUACUGAGUGCCCAUAUGUGAAAGAAAUCCACUCUACAUUCCACAGAUGCAUUUCCUCUCCCCACGGGGUUUCCAUUUUAAUGGGAACAAUGUAGAAUAUAUCUGUCUUCCCUUUAUAGAUUCCA